rnacentral:rRNA from 1 species
AACGAACGCUGGCGGUAUGCCUAACACAUGCAAGUCGAACGACACCUUCGGGUCUACUUGCGCACGGGUGCGUAACGUGUCGGACCCUGCCCUUAGGUUUCGAAUACUUCUCCGUAAGGGGUGCUAAUACCGGAUAAUGUCUUCUAACACAAGAUUUAACGCGCUUGGAUGGGCCCGCGUUGUUUUAGCUUGUUGGUAGGGUAUAAGCCUAUCACGGCUAGGUUCCUUAGCUGGUCAGAGAGGAUGAGCAGCCACACUGGGACUGAGACACGGCCCAGACUACUACGGGAGGCAGGAGUGGGGGAUAUUGGACUAUGGGCGAAAGGCUGAUGCAGCAAUGCCGGGAGAGUGAUGAAGGCGUUAGGGUUGUAAAGCUCUUUUACCCGGGAUGAUAAUGACGGUACCGAGAGAAUAAGCACCGGCUAACUCCGUG